CACGCUGUAAACGAUGAGUACUAGGUGUCGGGGGUUACCCCCCUCGGUGCCGCAGCUAACGCAUUAAGUACUCCGCCUGGGAAGUACGCUCGCAAGAGGGAAACUCAAAGGAAUUGACGGGGACCCGAACAAGUAGCGGAGCAUGUGGUUUAAUUCGAAGCAACGCGAAGAACCUUACCUAAGCUUGACAUCCCAAUGAUAUCUCCUUAAUCGGAGAGUUCCCUUC
rnacentral:rRNA from 1 species